UAUGCUUUUGGGUGGGAAAUAAUUCGUAUUAACUUGAAAUUGAUGAUUAUCUGUAUAACUAUAUGAAAUUAUUGCCAAAAACUGUUUUACUGUCGGUUUAUGCGGAUACAAUAAUUUAUUUAGAUCCGUAAAAAUGCUCGAAUAUAUACCCCCAGCACAGAGUUUUUCAAAAGCUUGAAAGCUGUCGUUAUGGUUACCUAUGAAAAGGAAUUUAUUGUAAUAUCAUCAUUUGUUUGUACAUCGGGUUGUAUUAGCAAUGUCGAAAAUUAAUCAUAUUACACCGCCGAUAGGAAACGAUCGUCACGCAGCCGCGGUAAAUCAAACGCCAUAGCUGGUGUCUAACCAAAAUUGUCCCAGACACCGACGGGCUAGAUAAAACAAUAUAAGGUGACAGGAAAACGGUGGUUUUCCGGACGAGAUAUGACGUCGCCACUACUCCGUCAGAAGUGACAUCACGUCAACUGCGCACUAAAUAUUAUAAUAUCACUCGCGUUGUUGUAUUAUUAAUCAUCUCAGACUUUACGGACUUUGAAAACUCUCGAUUGCUACUGUAUUUUUUAUUUUUUUUGUUUUG